UCGUAACAAGGUCUCCGUUGGUGAACCAGCGGAGGGAUCAUUACCGAGUGUAAAAACUCCCAAACCAUUGUGAACCUACCACUGUUGCUUCGGCGGCCUCGCCCCGGGCGCGUUCGCGCGGCCCGGACCCAGGCGUCCGCCGGAGGCUCCAAACUCUUGUCUUUUAGUGUAUUUCUGAGUGGCAUAAGCAAAUAAAUCAAAACUUUCAGCAACGGAUCUCUUGGUUCUGGCAUCGAUGAAGAACGCAGCAAAAUGCGAUAAGUAAUGUGAAUUGCAGAAUUCAGUGAAUCAUCGAAUCUUUGAACGCACAUUGCGCCCGCCAGUAUUCUGGCGGGCAUGCCUGUCUGAGCGUCAUUUCAACCCUCAGGACCCGUUCGCGGGACCUGGCGUUGGGGAUCAGCCUGCCCCUGGCGGCGGCUGGCCCUGAAAUCCAGUGGCGGUUCCCUCGCGAACUCCUCCGUGCAGUAAUUAAACCUCUCGCGGCAGGAUAGCGGUUGAACCACGCCGUUAAACCCCCCACUUCUCAAGGUUGACCUCAGAUCAGGUAGGAAUACCCGCUGAACUUAAGCAUAUCAAUAA
rnacentral:misc_RNA from 1 species